AACGUAGGAGACAAACGUUAUCCGGAGUUACUGGGCGUAAAGGGCGUGCAGGUGGUCAUUUAAGUUCGGCGUGAAAGCUCCUGGCUAAACCGGGAGAGGUCGUCGGAGACUGGAUGGCUAGAGGGUGAUAGAGGCGGGUGGAAUUCCGGGUGUAGUGGUGAAAUGCGUAGAAAUCCGGAGGAACACCAGUGGCGAAGGCGACCCGCUGGGUCACACCUGACACUGAGACGCGACAGCAUGGGGAGCGAACGGG
rnacentral:rRNA from 1 species